GCCCGAAUGGCUCAGUUGGUUAGAGUGCGUCCUUGGUAAGGACGAGGUCCCCGGUUCAAUUCCGGGUUCGGGCU
rnacentral:tRNA from 1 species